rnacentral:rRNA from 1 species
UACGAAGGGGGCUAGCGUUGCUCGGAAUCACUGGGCGUAAAGCGCACGUAGGCGGCUUGUUAAGUCAGGGGUGAAAUCCUGGAGCUCAACUCCAGAACUGCCUUUGAUACUGGCGAGCUUGAGUUCGGGAGAGGUGAGUGGAACUGCGAGUGCAGAGGUGAAAUUCGUAGAUAUUCGCAAGAACACCAGUGGCGAAGGCGGCUCACUGGCCCGAUACUGACGCUGAGGUGCGAAAGCGUGGGGAGCAAACAGG